rnacentral:rRNA from 1 species
CUAUGGAGUUGUUGCGGCCUCUAGGGGCAUGUGCACGCUUCACUAGUCUUUCAACCACCUGUGAACUUUUGAUAGAUCUGCGAAGUCGUCCUUCAAGUCGUCAGACUUGGUUUGCUGGGAUUUAAACGUCUCGGUGUGACAACGCAGUCUAUUUACUUAACACACCCCAAAUGUAUGUCUACGAAUGUCAUUUAAUGGGCCUUGUGCCUAUAAACCAUAAUACAACUUUCAACAACGGAUCUCUUGGCUCUCGCAUCGAUGAAGAACGCAGCGAAAUGCGAUAAGUAAUGUGAAUUGCAGAAUUCAGUGAAUCAUCGAAUCUUUGAACGCACCUUGCGCCCCUUGGUAUUCCGAGGGGCAUGCCUGUUUGAGUGUCAUUAAAUUCUCAAACUCACAUUUAUUUGUGAUGUUUGGAUUGUUGGGGGUUGCUGGCUGUAACAAGUCGGCUCCUCUUAAAUGCAUUAGCAGGACUUCUCAUUGCCUCUGCGCAUGAUGUGAUAAUUAUCACUCAUCAAUAGCACGCAUGAAUAGAGUCCAGCUCUCUAAUCGUCCGCAAGGACAAUUUGACAAUUUGACCUCAAAUCAGGUAGGACUACCCGCUGAACUUAAGCAUAUCAAU